rnacentral:rRNA from 1 species
AUUGAACGCUGGCGGCAGGCCUAACACAUGCAAGUAGAACAAGUGGCGGACAGGUGAGUAAUGUCUGGGAAACUGCCUGAUGGAGGGGGAUAACUACUGGAAACGGUAGCUAAUACCGCAAACCAUCGGAUGUGCCCAGAUGGGAUUAGCUAGUAGGUGGGGUAAAGUCUCACCUAGGCGACGAUCCCUAGCUGGUCUGAGAGGAAGACCAGCAACACUGGAACGGAGACAAGGUCCAGACUCCUACGUGAGGCAGCCGUGGUGAAUAUUGCACAAUGGGCGCAAGCCUUAUGCAGCCAUGCCGCGUGUAUGAAGAAGGCCUUCGGGUUGUAAAGUACUUUCAGCGGGGAGGCGUUACCCGCAGAAGAAGCACCGGCGAACUCCGUGCCAGCAGCCGCGGUAAUUC